GCUUGCUGCUUCGCUGACGAGUGGCGGACGGGUGAGUAAUGUCUGGGAAACUGCCUGAUGGAGGGGGAUAACUACUGGAAACGGUAGCUAAUACCGCAUAACGUCGCAAGACCAAAGAGGGGGACCUUCGGGCCUCUUGCCAUCGGAUGUGCCCAGAUGGGAUUAGCUAGUAGGUGGGGUAACGGCUCACCUAGGCGACGAUCCCUAGCUGGUCUGAGAGGAUGACCAGCCACACUGGAACUGAGACACGGUCCAGACUCCUACGGGAGGCAGCAGUGGGGAAUAUUGCACAAUGGGCGCAAGCCUGAUGCAGCCAUGCCGCGUGUAUGAAGAAGGCCUUCGGGUUGUAAAGUACUUUCAGCGGGGAGGAAGGGAGUAAAGUUAAUACCUUUGCUCAUUGACGUUACCCGCAGAAGAAGCACCGGCUAACUCCGUGCCAGCAGCCGCGGUAAUACGGAGGGUGCAAGCGUUAAUCGGAAUUACUGGGCGUAAAGCGCACGCAGGCGGUUUGUUAAGUCAGAUGUGAAAUCCCCGGGCUCAACCUGGGAACUGCAUCUGAUACUGGCAAGCUUGAGUCUCGUAGAGGGGGGUAGAAUUCCAGGUGUAGCGGUGAAAUGCGUAGAGAUCUGGAGGAAUAC
rnacentral:rRNA from 1 species